rnacentral:rRNA from 1 species
AUUGAACGCUGGCGGCACGCUUAACACAUGCAAGUCGAGCGGUAACAUGGUUAGUAGCAAUACUAAUUGAUGACGAGCGGCGGACGGGUGAGUAACACGUAGGAACCUGCCCAGAAGCGGGGGACAACCAAGGGAAACUUUGGCUAAUACCGCGUAAUCUCGGGAGAGUAAAGCUGCCCGCAAGGGUGGCGCUUCUGGAGGGGCCUGCGUCCGAUUAGCUAGUUGGUGAGGUAAUGGCUCACCAAGGCUGUGAUCGGUAACUGGUCUGAGAGGACGACCAGUAACACUGGGACUGAGACACGGCCCAGACUCCUACGGGAGGCAGCAGUGGGGAAUCUUGGACAGUGGGGGCAACCCUGAUCCAGCGAUGCCGCGUGGGUGAAGAAGGCCUUCGGGUUGUAAAGCCCUUUAGGUUGGGAAGAAGUUCAUAGGCUGAAUAGUCUUAUGGAUUGACGGUACCAACAGAAUAAGCACCGGCAAACUCUGUGCCAGCCGCCGCGGUAA